AAAAUCUUGAUUCUGAGACUGAGAAGAACAACCUUUUAUAAAAAGGGAAUAUCAUUAAAUCGUAUAUUCGAUCAUUGCGCGCGACUUAAAUAUUAUGCAUAAUAUAGGGUAUAAUAAGCUGAUCACUUGUUAUACUUGCAGAGGGGUAUGAUUUAAUCUUUACGGUUAUCUGAUACACCUGGGUAUAUCAAAGUAUAACUUUGAUAGUUACUCGAGAAGAGAAGUUCAAAGAUCUUGUGUGAUCACUCAGUAUAAAUCUGGAAAACAAUCCACUUUGCAAAUUCGUAGAAUUAAUUCUUGAUUAUUCAAUUGAAUAUAUCGUAGAACCUUGAAAGCGUUGUACCCUUUCAUCAUUACAUUAUUGUGCAGUAUAGAAUACGAGAAGACUUGUUAUUGAAUAACCAUUUGUUCAGCUAUUUCAAAGUUCCCCGAACUUUGGUUUCAUUCUAUCAAAAUAGAUAGUCUGGUGAUUUGAAUACUUAUACAUUUAUUGUAUGUAUUAACUUGCGGGGCAAAUUUGUUGCUCACCCUUGCUAAAUAAAACAUUUCAGCUAGGGACGAAGUGGCAGGAGGUGCUGCGAAGAAUAAAG
rnacentral:lncRNA from 1 species